rnacentral:misc_RNA from 1 species
AGCGUAGGCUAAAUCGCCGUAUCGCUUCAGUCGAGUACCUCUUCCCUUUCUCUUUCUGUAUUUUCUCUCACCCGCCGACGUCAACCUCCUGCUGCGAAAAUGGACAUGCGAGGUCUCGCCCACUUCAUUCGGGACAUCCGUCGUGCAACUGGAAACAAGAAGGAGGAAGAGAGUCGCGUGGAUGAGGAACUGGCCAAGAUACGCGCCAAGUUCAUUGAAACUAGUACGAUGACGACGUACGAUCGAAAGAAGUACGUGUGCAAGUUGAUGUUCAUCUCGAUGCUCGGCUACCCCAUUACCUUUGGCCAUAUCGAAGGCCUGAAACUCAUGUCACAGGAGAGCCCGUCCGCCAAGCUCAUCGGGUACCUCUCCACUUCCGUGUUGCUGAACGAAAACAGUGAUCUUCUGACGCUCACCACGCACACUGUAUAUCGAGACCUUCUCUCGGCAUCUGACUUGAGUCGCAGUCUCGCCCUCACAGCCGUCGCGAACACGGGAAGCCGCGAUUUUGUAGAGGUGAUGCACGAAGGCGUCUUUUCCAUCAUCAUGGAUGACAGCGUCAAUCAGCACGUCCACAAGAAGGCGCUUCUGACGCUGCUGCACAUUUAUCGCAAGUACCCCGAGAUUGUCGAUCUGAAUACCGUGAUUCCUAAGGCGGCAGAGCUGCUUCUAUCGAAACAGGACGGUGUCAGCAUGUGCGCCGUGACAUUUCUUAACGGCUGCAUCAGCAAGGAAUCGAGGCAUCUUUACAGAGGCAUCCCCGACAAGCUGAUCCAGGUUCUGGCACGCAUCAUUCUGGAAAAGCAGACGGAGCCAGGCUACGUGUACUACGGUGUCCCAGCGCCAUGGCUUCAGGCGAAGCUCCUGCGGCUGCUGCAGUAUUUCCCGCUUCCGUCAGAGGCCGACCAGCGCCAUCGCAUCAUCCUCGUUCUCCGCAAGGUUGUCAAGGCGACGGAAAAGGUGCUGAAGGAUGCGCAGGCGCAGCAGAAGCAGCGUGGCACGCAGAGCCGCGUCAGCGCAAUGAACGCGGUGCUGUUCGAGGUGGUGUCACUGUGUAUCCAGUGGGAUGUCGGCUCCAAGCUGAUUUUGGAGUGCGUGGCCCUCAUCAGCUCCUUUCUUUCCGACAAGCGGGAGUCAAAUCUGCGCUACAUCGGCCUUAGCUUGCUGGCCCGGCUCAGCUUUGUGGACGUCCCCGGCUUCGACUUUCAUAUGCACUGCCGUCAGCACCAGCAGCAGAUCAUUGUUGGGCUGCACGACUCAGACGCCUCGAUUCGGAAAAAAGCGCUCGAUGUUCUCGUGGCUAUGUGCAACCGGAGCACCGCUGACGACAUCAUCAAGGAGCUCAUCUCGUACCUCCCCAUUGCCGCGGACCCCAACUUCAAGACGAGCCUCGUUCUCUCGAUCGCGCUUCUGUCAGAGAAGUACUGCAAGGACUACAACGUGUAUGUGGAUAUCAUGCUCACAGUUGUGUCGGAGGCGGGUGACCUGUGCCCGCCAGAUAUCGUGCACCGCGUCGUUCAGGUUGUCGUCAACGAUCCGUCCGUGCAGAAGCGUGCGGCGAACAUCGUCUUCCAGGAGCUUUGGAAAAAGACAAAUGUGCCAGAGGUGAUGCUUCGUGUUGCUGCGUUCGUGCUCGGCGAGUUCGGCUACCAGAUCGCGCUGAAUGCCGAGAGCACGCCGAUGGUGCAGCUCAACCUGCUGACACAGAAGCUGAGCUUCACCUCGGUGGUGACGCAGAGCAUCAUCAUUAGCACAUUUUUCAAGUUCUACACGCUCUACGACGAUGUUGCGGUGCGCGAACGCAUUGUGAAGACGCUGCAGGCGUACGCCAACAGCCCGCACCCGGAGUUGCAGCAGCGUGCAACGGAAUUCAUUGCACUGGUGGAGUUUGCGCGGAGUGAGCUGCUAGAAAAGGUCUUCGAGCCCAUGCCACCUUUCCGAGACGAUGUGAACACUGUCAUGGAUCAGGUGAAGAGGCUGCAAAGCAGUGUGCAGGACAUUUGGGCCCUGAAGAUUCUUGAACGCGGCGUGGAGGAUGUGAACCACACCGGCAAGCGCAAGUCGAAGUCGGAGUCCGCCGAGAAACAGAAGGUGCAGGCAAAGCAAGGAAUAGCACUGCACGAUCUCUCGACUGUGUCGACAGCAGCCCCUGUGCAAGGUGACAGCACCGACCAGGCCUACGCAGAGCUUGACGCCUUGCUCGACGUGUCCCUCUCUUCCCAGGAUGUGGAUCGUGUUCGCAGCGUCUACGAAGAGCACCGCCGCCGCCUCUUCGAGCUUUCGCGCGCUGAAAAAGGCGUGCUCUUCUCGAACGAGUCGAUCGAGCUCCAGUGUACCAAGUCAACGUACGGGGCGGACACUCGCAUGAAGGUGGUGGUGCGUGACAAGACAGGCAAGGGUCUCGUUCAGGUGGCAGUGGAGGUCAUCCGUGCCGAGGCGGGGCUCAUACUGCAGUCGCGCACAAAAGACGGAACCACUGUGGCGGCUUGGGGCACAAUCGCAAUCGAGUUUGCCGCCCGCUCAUGCUUUGCUUUUAGAAGCCCGCCGAGUGUGCGAGUGCAGUACGCGCCGGCGUCCGGCAGCGCGCGCGUGUGCACCGACGUUCUGUCACUGCCGAUCCUUCCCACGACUUUCUUCACCCCAUACCAGGUAGACUCGGAUGCCAACUUUAGUCGGCUGUAUGAGACAACGAGGCGGGCAUCGACCUUCGCCGGCUGGCGCAAGGAGGCGUCGCCGUCGGCGAGGGUAGAUGCCAACGCUCUGAUGCAGUUGCUCGAGCUACAAGGGUACCGGACGAAAGUGACUGGAUUGGGAGCAAUCGUUGGCGUCGCCGCGUUCGCGGUGCAGCCGAAGGAGCGCGUUGAGUACGUACCUGUGGUGUGCGAGAUACAGACAUCCGCAAGUGAAAUGCAGGUGUUCGUGUACACCGAGUCCUCGGUGCUUCAGCAUGGUGCCCUCGACACAAUCAAGUUCGCCCUACAAUAGACAUCGCCCGAUCCCCUCCGCUACGCAGAGAGACAAGCAUGCCGAGUGCUGGCAGAAAGCUUUAUAAAACGAAAGGCUUCGCUGUCGCUCUUUCUCGGUCGUCUCUCCCAGUGGGUGUUUAUCUCCUCUUUACAGCUCUUUUUAUCGAGUGUCGUCUGGGAUGGUCAGCGCUUUUCGUUGCUGUGCUGCCGGAUGAGGCGAGCACCGCACUGUUGCUGCGCGUUGUCACUCAUCAUGAUCGCUUUGUUGAGUUGUCUUUGUGCUUCUUUUUUUUUCACAUGCCCUCCAGCCUGUUUUCUCUCCUGGAAGGGGAGCACGGCAGCGACGGCUGCGAUCUUGGAGCAACGCGCCUGACGCGGGCGUGCAAGGGCACACGCACUCUGCCCGAGCCAAUUUUUUUGGCCGUCGUUUCGACACUUAAACAGAGAAGCCCUAGGGUGUGGUUUAAUUGCUUCGUGCGAGUCCAACCGUUGCACGUUGUCGUGCAUUGACCUGCCGCGUGGCGCGUAAAGGAACCCGUUGCCGCGCCAUGUAUGUGCGUCCGGUCUGUGCUCCUGCGAGCGUUUGUCGGCUGAUAUCCUACCUUUUACUGCUGUCUCUAGUUCACGCCGCCCUCAUGACGUGGGCACAAACACCUCCGCGCGUGGCAUCCCCGGGUCCGGUGUGUCCAGCUCGGUCUGGGUGGACGCCGAGCAGCCCCCUCUCCCCGCCCCCAUCCCGGCCGAAUGCCGAGCCACUUCUGGCGGUGCGCGUGCCAAGCGCCUACGACGUGGGCGAGUGAGAGCGAGUCGUCGCUGCGGAUGUCGGCGGGCGGGUCCUGGACGGCGUGGCGCCGGGGCGAGCGGCGGCAGUGAACGCGUUUGUGGUUCUCAUCGGAUAGGCAAAAAGUGUCCGCGCGACUCGAGCGUAUGCCACACCCGGCCCUCGCACCGCCUGCUGGUGUGGGGCGCCUGAGAGCCACCCUACGGUGCGCGGGGUGGGUGGGCGGCGCUUGAGGGCACGGGCCCUCCUCGGGCGACCGGGUCGGCGCACUGCUGCAACGCGUGUCUACCGGUGCUUCGCACCACGCGGAUGCGGCCUGCGACAGGGUCGGGGGUGGAGCGGCGUUGGACCUCACGUUGUGCGGCAGAGAAAUAGGCGUGUCGCAAAGAAGAAAAGUUUUUAGUGCGCGCCCUACGCGUGCAAGUCUUUCAGGGUACAUUUUUUUGUCGCACGGACCAGCUUGUGGGGAAAGAGAAGUCGCGAUGGAUGUGCAGGUGCGUUGAUGCGUG